UACAGGGGGGGCAAGCGUUGUUCGGAAUUACUGGGCGUAAAGGGCGAGUAGGCGGCCAACUAAGUCCGACGUGAAAUCCCCAGGCUUAACCGGGGAACUGCAUCUGAUACUGGAUGGCUUGAGAUUGGGAGAGGGAUGCGGAAUUCCAGGUGUAGCGGUGAAAUGCGUAGAUAUCUGGAGGAACACCGGUGGCGAAGGCGGCAUCCUGGACCAACACUGACGCUGAGGAGCGAAAGCCAGGGGAGCAAACGGG
rnacentral:rRNA from 1 species